ensembl:lncRNA
GGGAGGAGGAGGAGGAGGAGGAGGAGGGGAAGAGGGGAAGAGGAGGAGGAGGAGGAGGAGGAGGAGGAGGAGAAGGAGGAGCGGUCGCUGCUGGAGCCGAGGAGCCGGAGCCCGGCCCGACCCCGACCCCGACCCCGGUCCGCGGCAGUCCCGGGCCACAUAUCCAUGAGCUCCGAUUUCCAGCAUUACACUUUCAGAAUGCCUAACAUCGGGUUCCAGAAUCUGCCUCUCAACAUAUACAUUGUGGUUUUUGGCACUGCGAUUUUUGUCUUCAUACUUAGUUUACUCUUCUGUUGCUACUUAAUCAGGCUAAGACAUCAAGCCCACAAAGAAUUUUACGCCUACAAACAGGUUAUAUUAAAAGAAAAAGUAAAAGAGCUGAAUUUGCAUGAGAUCUGUGCUGUCUGUUUGGAAGAUUUCAAGCCCAAAGAUGAAUUGGGUAUCUGCCCGUGUAAGCACGCCUUCCACAGGAAGUGCCUCAUCAAGUGGCUGGAGGUCCGGAAAGUGUGCCCACUGUGCAACAUGCCGGUGCUGCAGCUGGCGCAGCUACACAGUAAGCAGGACCGCGGCCCCCCCCCGGGCCCCCUCCCUGGGGCCGAGAACAUAGUCUAGCCCGCCCCCAGGACGGACUCGGACACACGAUAUCGCAGAGAACCCCAGGCGGAGGGCCGCUCGCCCCUGAACCGGCCGCCCCCGCGCAGAUGCACCAGUGAUCCCCGGCCCUCCCAAAGAGCUGCUCCUUUGGGUCCCGAAGCCACCGGAAGCCUCGGCCGCCCGCCCACGUCCUGGCACGGAGGGCCCGCGGGUGGGGGGUCCCGUGUGCGGCCCCAGCCCCUGUGCCCACCCAGAGUUUGCCUUGGAUAAGCAAGUGGGUGAUGGUAAGUGUGGCAGGAGGGACUGUGGGCUGAGCCUCGGGGGCUGGACCCCUGGACCACCAGGUCAACCCCCCCCCAGAGACCAAGCGUGAAGCUCCCUGAGCCGCCAGAUGAGCCGGCCCGCUCCAGACCCGCUGGCAUCCUGAUCCUGGAUCCCCAAAUCCCGUGGUUCUGAUGAAAAGCCCGGAGCCGCUGUGGGCCGGAUUGGGCAAGGCCCAGGGGAGCGGUGACUGCGCCACAGCCCUCGGCACUGGAUUGUCACCGGUGGUCAGACAGUGAGGAGCCGGAGAAAGAGCAUGGGUGGUCAGCACUGCCCAGCCAGGCGGCGGCGGGUUCUCCCCGGGACUUCCUGCUGGCCCGAACUGAGUAACAGGACUUGGGGUGGGGCAGCCCCGAGACCCAAGGGCAGGAGGGAGCAUCCGGACCGGGUCGUCACCCUCCCCAAUGACUCAGUAAGCCCACAGUCACCAAGCCUCCGGGAGCUGGGCCGCCAGCGGAUAGACUAGUGGCCGUGCAGCCAGAUUGGACACCAGCGCCCCUGAAAGUCAGCCCCCCAAAAGAAGCACCUGCCUACCCGAUCCCAGGCUCAGCCCACAACUGUUCCUCCCGUCUGUCCUCCCCAAACCCCUUUGUCUGACCCCAGUUCUACCCAUCUCUUGUCCUUAUUAGAACAAACGGUUCUUGAGUUUCCAGUUAGCUCUGAGGCACUGCUCUGAAAACAUCCCACGGUCUGUAUUUUUAAAAAUAUUUGAACUUGUAAAUAUUGUAUUCAGCAGCCCAGGAUUAAGGAGCCCACGAUUGUGUGUUUAGUUUUGUACUUGGCUCUGGAAACAUUAGCAAAAAGCCUAUUUAUAGAAGCCAUAGAUGGCUUUGUCUCUUGCACUCACAGACUUUUGUAGAAAUGACCCAAAAGUAGCUGAUCUUUGGGGGGUACCAGAAUAUGUUGUAAAUUAGCUCUUAGAAAGAAGCGAUGGCCCUAGCGGCUCUUCCCCACGGCCCAGCCCGGCCCCUCACAUAACUUCGGCAAGGCCUCCGUGUCCGGGAAGGCUGCUCUGCCUGUAUCAUGUCCCACACCUGCUGGAACAUGGCGGGCCAAGACUGAACUAAAGCAAAAGAUUUCAUCCUCAAGUGCUUCCCGCUGGUGCCCCCCCCUCCCCACCAUCCACUAGAAAUCAGAAAGGGAUUCCACCGGUUAGGGGGCUAGAAAAGGAAAAUGGAAACUGCAGUUGUGGGGAGCCGGCGGACUCCUCCCCCGGUCUGAUCUGGGGGGUUCUGUAGGUCCUGUCCGGGUUCUCGAACAAGGGAGUGGAAGGGAAGGCUAUUUUUAUAGUAGAGCUAAAUUUAACCUGCUGGGCUCCAUGCUUCUUUUCUGAGCCAUUAAUGGAAAGGAUACCAGUUAUAAGUACUCCCGCCUCCCUUCUGACUUAUCUAUUCCUUUUCUGCAUCUCUGGCAGUCGUUAAGUGCCGGGAAACCAAUAGAUUUGCCUGAACUUUGGUAAAACAGGUUUACAGUAAAAUAUUUUUAGUGACCAAUGUCAAAAGAGAAUAUUGGGCUUGUCUCUGGAUCUGUACAGUUCAGUUACAUUGUUUACAGCCUAGGAUUUUCCAGGAACAUGGGACAGCUUUGGAAUAAGUGCCAUUUCUUCCAUAUGGGGCCACGAUCAAAACAGAAGUCAGAAAUCUGGGGACCGUGAAGCUUUUAGCUUGUGCUCCCGUCCCCUCCAACCCCAAUCUGUAGGACUACCCCCUUGGGGCCGUUGCUCUGCUUCUUUGAGUAGGGACCUCAGCAAGGGACUUUUUUUAAGGGCAAAACAUUUUAGUCCAAUAUCUCAAAUAUUCUUUCCAGCUGAAAGUCUGUUCAGACAUUGACUCUAUAAUUCCAACUUAGCUCCGUCGACCGAGGGCCAAAAUAACAAAAUCAAAAUGUCUUCUCAUUCACAGAUCGGAAAGGAGUCCAGUUGGGUACAAAUGUCCCAACAGACUCCACCUGGUGUCUGUACUGUUUGUUUACACUAAUUGUCUAAGCAGAAAGUCGGCACUGUCCCCACGAAUCCAUCCUGACAUUAGUCAAUAAGCAAAGUGGAUGAUGUUAAGCAAGCGAUUGAUCGGAAGAAAUCUUGCCUCUGCUUAGUCAUCCGCUCCUGUAAUGGAGUUUGAGGACCCAGUGCCAAAAGCCAGUCACUUCUCCCAGCCCCUUAAGCCUGGUGACUUGUGACCCUGACCUAGUGGAGAACGGAGGUAUCCAGCCCGUAGUCUGCGAUGGGAGAGACCCUCUGGGCCAAGCCAACGGUCCUUGCUCAAAGACCUCCCAGGGGCAUUCCCUGCUCGUUCCGGACCGGUCCUGAUAGAAAUACUAAGUGAUCGUGCGCUCCGGCCAGAACAAUACAGAACGUAGUUGUAGGUGUAGUUGCACGUUUGGCACCAGUAUUAAAUCCAAGAAGGAGAAAGAAGGAAUGAGAAAAGAAUCCCUUUGAUCCCUGAAUCAAGCUGAAAGCCCUGGAAGUCACUGGCCGCUCCCCAUCUCUUGGUGAAGAUCCAGGGGGAAGUUUAGGCCUUUGGGGACUUUUGCCUAUUUACCCAUCAAUGAUUUUUGUGUUUCUAACUGAAAUAUGAAGAAAGGAAGCUGAAAAAUUGGACUUCAUUGACCCGUCGCCAGCCACUCACUCGCCUUCUCCAGCUGCUGACCCGGAAUCUCUUGUACUCACUGGGACUCAGGGACAGGGCACAGGAACCCGCGGCCUUUGAUGCUGGGCCUGGGAGGCAGCCCGGGGCUUCCCGGCUUUCUUAGCUGCAGAACCUGUAGCAUUUUCCACUUCCUCAGAUGAGACCCGCCAGGAGGGAUUUAGGGACAGAAUAAACGAAAUGAAAGUGUAGGCAGCACCACCUCCUCUUGCCGGGUCAUGCUGGGCUCCCUGCCCUCCGAGGGCUUACGUUCUAAUCAUGGAGCCCACACCUGGAGCGUUCGGUCUGGAACAAGAGCCCACGUGUGUUUCCCUCGUGAGCCCCCCAGGCCGAGGACUAGCUGGCCUCCCCUGUCAGGUUAUUACCACCACGAUCAGACCGCUCCAUGACCUGCAGGGGUGGCCGGGGGUGGUCACUGUGCCAGCGGGCUCCCAGGGCUGCCCGUGAGGAGCGCCUGCCGCUGUCGGCCCUCAGCCUCCCCCCUCACCGCCCCAGCCCGGCCAUGGCUCUGAGCUCUCCGGGCUGGCUGACUGUGAGCCCUCUCUGGGAGGGGAGAUGGCUCCCCUUCCCAGCCACGGUCAGUCCAUCUGGAACCGCAGAAUCGCUCUUGAACCACAUUCCUUUCCAGCAAGACAGAUCCUCGGUUACGACAUAAUGGAAUUCCUUGUUUCUAGACAAACGGAACCUUCCACUCCCUCCCUCACCCUCGCCAUAAAAGCUGAGAUUUGACCUUUUAAGUGCCCAACCAACCAGAGAUGGGACGUGGACUCAUCAGGGCCCUCAUGUGGCCCGGGCCCAAGUCAGCCAAACCAUCCCCUUCCCCGACCGCCCUUGCUUUAGCCGGACCUUUUCCAUCCUUUCUCCUCAUCACCUCCUUAGAGAAGCUGGAGCCCGGGGGGCUUGGGGAGGAAGGGCCCCGUGGCUUGUGUCGGGCUGCCAGAGACGGGCGCUCCUUCCCUGAGGAGGGGCCGGCGCGGGGAGAGCCAAUUCCUCCUCCAGCCGGCGAGUGGGGAAGGCCCAGGCUCCUAGUGGCGGCUAAACCGGCUGUAAUUGUGGAGAUAGGAUUGGAAAGCGGAUCCCUUGACAGCACAUCUGGUGCACGGCCACUGGGCCGGCCGCCUCUGGCCACCCAGAGCCACAUGCAAAGUUCCCCUCCCCCAGCCCCCACCUCCUCGUCUUUUCUGAGUCCUGGCCCGGCCCUGGGCCAAAAGCACUUGAAUCCUGAGCCUUGAAGCUGAAACUUGAAAGGAAAGGCUCGGCAGAAGCACUUUUCAGAUCCUUUCAGACUUUAUUCCCUCCAUCCCUCCCUCUCUCAGACCCACAUCCUGAGUCACUAACCCUUUCCUUACCCAAACUGCAAACAAUCGUUGGGGAAAGGAGGGGUGUUGUGCAGGCUUUAUGCAAUGAACUUUGUCCCCGGUGGCUUUGGGGGAGAAUCAGUCGCUGCUUUUUUUUCAUAAACGACUCGGACGCUUACUCCCGGUUCAGAGUCUGUAAAAAUAUCUUGAAAACUACGUAUUUGGGAGUUGAGAUUUAGGAUCGAGGUUUGUUACAAGUCGUUCUCAUCAGCGUUAUUUGUCUCCCGUCUUCAUGGGUGAGUGGCCAAGAACCCUAACAUCGGAACCCCCAGAAGGAACCAAUUUCUCCUAGAACCGAACCCCUCAGACGUCCCUGGGACUUCUGACCGCCCCAGUCCUGGGGCUGCCCGGGGCCUGACGCCAGCCCUUCUAGCCUUUGGGCCUUUGGGCCCCCAAUCGGUGCCAUCCGGUUAGCUGGGCGCGGGGCUCGGCCUCCUGGUCAGUCCCGCCAGAGGCCCGGGCACUGCUGCCGGCGGCUCUCCCACCAUGCCCGCUGUUUCUCAUUUGCUGACCCUCGGGAUGGCUGGAACGCCCUUCUCCUUUAACAAUGAUUGAUCGCCAGGCAAGACAUCCAGUAUUAACGGGUGGAGAGACUGAAAGUCUCCCGUGAAAGAAUAAGGCAGCCCCGACCCCGGGAAGGGGAGCCCGGCCAGCCGCCGCUCCGGUGCCUCGGCGCGAGCUGGUCUCCCCACGGCGCGAGCUGGUCUCCACGCGGCGCUCGCCGCCCCUGGGUGAUCCAAGUCGAUAUCGUGUAACUCCUGCGAAAGUUUGUGAAACUCUGAGCCUCUGGUUUCAUAGACAUAUUUAUACACUAAGGAUUCUGCAGCAGAAUAUUUUUGAAAUCAUUCGCUGUUUUUGUAAGCUAUAUUUUUGUAUAUUUAAUUGCUAUUUUAAAAUUCUAAUGCAUCUUUUGCUAAUCACAUCCUUGUUUUGAAAAAAUAACGUUUGCAUGUGAUUGACUUGAAAUGUAAAUAAAAGCAGGUUUUGAAAAUACAUGUUGUCGGGACGCGCCCUCUCUGCGGCCGAGCUGUCGGGGGCCUCCUCCGCAAGGUCCUGGGGAGCAGAAGCCUUCCAGCGGCGGCAGCGCCCGGCCCUCAGUGCGGGGCUUCUCCGGAAGGAGGAGCUCGCCGGGGAAUGAACCCAACAGCAACGAAGCCCGAGCCCCUGGCAGUGAGCAGCCCCCUCCCCCUCAGACGCCCCCACCUUCGGGGCCUCGGGCCUCAGGGCAGGGCUUGGCCCAAGUAACUAACGGCUAACGGGCGGGGGCCAAGGCCGGGGGCCUCGCACCCGGGACCCGCAGCGGCACAGGCGGGACCAGGAGAAGGCCUGCCCCCCGCCUUCCCCCGCCCCCCGGCAGCCGUCGGUACGCGGGCCUCUCCUCUCCGGUCUCUGAGCAUCUAUUAAGCGCCUUCUGUGCGCCGGGUGACCUGAGCACUGCGACGAGGGCAGGCCCAGCAGCUCUUCCCCAGGACUUCCGGGUCUCUCUCCGGGCCGGCGCACGCUCUCUCCGAGGCCCCGCAGUAGCAGCUGCGUUUCCAGGAGCCCCAAGUUCAAAUCCCGCCUCGGACCCCGAGCCCCGGGGGACCAUGGACAGGCCGCGAAAUCCGUGAGAGGCGUUGGGCGGCGGGACCUGGGGACUUGCUGUGAGCCUCGGAGGGUCCCAACCAGCCCCUCAGAACCCGGCCUCCUCCUGCAGAGUAUCUGCGCAUAGUAGGCGCUUUAUCAAUACUUGAACUUGACAGGGAAAGGAAGCAUUCUGUGCAAUGAUUCAGGAUCAAGCAAAGAUUUUCCUUAAGAAAAAGACGCAUUAAGGGAAAAAACCAGACAUGAACAUAAUUGUAAAGUUUUUUAUACAAAUAAAGUCAGAUUUAAAUAACUGGAGAAAUAUUCAUUGUUCACAGGUGGGCUAAACCAAUAUCAUAAAAUUUUAUCUAAAUUAAUCUAAUUAUUCCGUGCCAUUUGAAGUAAAUCACUCAAAAAAUUAAUUGAAUUAGAAAAAAUAUAAUCCAUUUGGAAGAACAAUAGCUCCAGAAUAUCAAAGGAACUCAUGGAAAUAAGUAAAGGAAGGAGAUCUGGCAUGAGAGUCCAGCUCUUAAAUGCAUCAUAAGGCUAUAAUUAUUUCAACUUGCAGGUACUGACUAAAGAACAGAAAGGUGGAUCAGUGUAGAUAUACAACACACAGUCGGAAAAGACUGUAACAAGCUCCUGGUUAACAAAUGCAAAGGUUUACGCUUUCGGGACAAGAAUUCGCCAUCUGGUUAAAAAAAAAAAUUGGAAGGAAAACUAGAAAGCAGUUUGACAGAAACUGGGUAUAGACCAGCAUCUUAUACCAUUUACCAAGAUAUGAUCAAAAUGGACACAUGACCUAGACGUGAAAGGAGAUCUCAUAAGUAAACGUACCCUCUAUCAGAUUUAUGAAUAAGAUGAGAAUUUAUGAAUAAACAAAUUAAAGAGCAUUGUGGAACAUAAAGUGAAUAAUUUUGAUCCCAUUAAGUUCAGGUUUUUUUGUUUUUUUACAAAUACAUGUUUCCGAGAUUAGAAAGAAGUAGAGAAAUGGAGGGAGGGAUUUGAUAAGAGUUUUCGGAUAAAAGCCUCCCUCAUAUCAAAUAUGUGGGGAACCUUGUCACCUUUUUAAGAAUACAAAUCAUUCCCCAGUUGAUAACUUGACAAAGGAAAUGAACAGGCAGUUUUGGGAGGAAGAAAUCAAAGCUGUACAUAGUCAUGUGAGAAAUGCUCCAAGUCAUUAUUGAUUAGAGAAAUACAAAUUAAAAUAUCUAUCAUCACCCAUCAGAUUGGCUAAAAUGAUAUGAGGAGAAAAUGACGAGUGUCAGGGGGAUGUGGGAAAAACGGGGACACUAAUUCACCGGAGGUGGAAACGCAACGGGAUCCAGCCGUUGUGGAGAGCGAUCUGGAACUUCCCCCAAAGAGUCAUCAAACUGGAUAUACCCGUUAAGCCAACAAGAUCACUCACUAUUCGUUGUUUCCCAAAGUGAUCGGGGAGAAGGAAAAGAACCCAAUGCUUCCAAAAUAGUUAGAGAAGCUCUUUGUGGUGGCAAAGGACUACAGAGGAAAGGGCUGCCCCGACAUUGGGGAUGGACUGAAAAAGUUGUGCUACCGGAUCGUGAUGGUGAUGGCCUAAGGAGUUCUGGGCAGGCUGAUCCCAGAAAAACCUGGAAAGACUUGCAUGAAAUAAGGAGAACGGUGAAAUAAAUAAAUGAGAAACAAAUGUUAAUAAUGAAAUUAAGAAAACAUCUAAAUAAUACUGAACAUUGAAUUGAGUUGAAUCUUGAAUAAUAUUGAAAAAAUAUUGAAGAUGCUAAUGGCUCCAGAGAAAGAGAAGUCCAAUAUGUAUUUGUGUGUGUGUGUGUGUGUGUGUGUGUAUAUAUAUAUAUAUGUCAUAUAUAAUGUCAGACGUUGCCUUUCUCUAACUCAGGGCUGGGAAAGAGGAAGGGAAACAUCUUGGAACCCAAAUGUAACAAUAAAUAAAUCAUUUUUUAAAGAAAAAGAAGAAAACUUGGGGAUGAUCUCUUCAAACGGAAAGGAGGGAAUGGGUAAUGUGAGAACGCCCCCUCCUCAGGUUGGAGGACGUAAUCAGUAAUGAUUUCUGGGACCCCAAUGACAUAACCACUGUAUUCUGGGAAGAGAAGGCGAGAAGGGGAACAUGUCCGCUUGUAGCUGGAGAUGGGCAGGGAGCUUGACCUCCAAACGCGAGUGCUGGCCCUGCAGCUGACCGGGGCUCCUUGAGGGAGGGAGCCAUGUCUCCACCUCCUGCCCUUGAGCUGGGAUCUCCAGAAGGGACGCGGGUGCCAGGAGUCCAGGAUCCCCUCGUCGGCACCCCAACAAGCAGCCGCCCCACUUUUGCUGGAUCGCUCUUGGGGAUUGGCCUUGUGGACCACUCUGUCCAUGAGGUUUUCUUCCCAGAAAUGCUCGCGUGGCCGCUUCCCAGUCCAGUGAAUUAUGGGAAGAUGAGUUUGUCGACAUUUUGGCUGCACUGAGCUCAGGCCCAUGGGGCUCUUCCUGAAGACCCGGCCCCCCAGCUGGACGCCUCUGCAUCGAGCCUACAUCUGCCCCCCACCCUGCUCCGGCCCCCCUGCAGCACGUCGGGGUCCUUCCCAAGGCGGGGCCCUCAGCACGAAGCCUCCGCCCCAGACGGGGCCUGACCAGGACGGAGGGACCCCUGAUCCCAGACCCCCAGCCUCCAGCUGCAGGAGAACAUCCGAGUCCGGGCCUCUAAGUCCCCAGCCCCGGUGGGGCCGUGGGUCCUGCUCCCUUGGUCUCCUCCCAGGGGCCGGCAUGGAGGAUGCUCCAUCUGGAACAGAACCUGGAAGGGAAACCUCUGUUCCUCCGGCCUUCAAGGGGAGGCUCCGGAGCCACUGGGGAAUGCUGGGAGGGACCUCUGGCUCCUGGAAUGCCUGGGAUCCUUGGGAAGAAGAACUCUCCCUCAUUUCCUUUUCUUCCCCUAAACAGGCCAAAUUAUUCCAAGAUUUCACUUUCUGUUCUUCUCCCAGAGGAUCAAGAUUCCCGGCACAGAAAGAGUUCAAGGAAACCGAAACUGCGCCUCCCUGCACACAUCUGCCCCUGGGAUGAGGGGCCAAAGGGGCGGGGGGCCGCCGAGCAGGGAGGGGGAUGGGAGGGGAGGGGAUGGGAGGGAAGGGGCCCUCCGGGCAGGGGAGGGGGAGGGGAGGGGAAGGGGAUGGGAGGGAAGGGGCCAGCUGAGCCGGGGCCACCGUCCCUCUGCCCCCAGGCCGCUGUCUUCUGGGGAGAAGCGACCCCUACUACACCUUCAGAGAUGGCCCCCAAAGAGACGGGGACCCCCAGGGCAUCUGCAGGGGCCCUCACCUCCUACGAGAUCGGCUACCCCCGCCCACACCUGUAGAGGAGGUUUCUCAUUCCCUCUGCCCCCAGCAGUCGGGGCCGCCACGGGUGCCUGUCCCGCCCCCACCCCCACAAGGAGCCGGAGCCGGAAAGGGCACUGGGGGGGCCCAGGCCCCAGGAGGCCUCGGGGCAGCGGUCGGUCCUGGGGGGCCUCUCGCGCCUCGGGGGAGCCUGAAGCUCUCUGGGCUCCCUUCCAGAGCUGACCACGUGUCUCGGACCAGGGCAGGCGCGCGUCAGGCCGAGGGAGGGCCCUGGGCCCUGGCUGGCAGCGCGCUGGCACGGCGGAGGGCCGGCCGAGCGGGGGCGGGGCGGAGGUCCCAGGGAAGGGCGCGGCCCCGGGCGCCGCCCACCGCGGGAGCUUCUGCCAGGCGCCGGGGGCCUGAGGCUGGAGGAGCCGCUCCCAGGACCGAACGGGAGCCCCGCUUCCGCAGCUGUAGCGUGAGGCCCGCAGCCGUCGUGACCUUCUCCAGGCCCCACAAGAGCCCCCUCCCCGCCCCGCUCCCUCCCCGAGCAGCCGGAACAGGCGUUCCCGCCCGGCCGGGCGGCCUGGGAUUUCCCACCGGCUCCGAGCUCCGUGGGCCGGCCUGCCCCGAGCCACCGGCCCUGGCUGGGGGAGGGGGGGAGGGGGCCGGAGACCCGGCGCCCCCCCCCCAGUCUGUCUCGGGAGGGCGCAGGCCCUGCCCCCGCCCCCUUCUCCCCCCGUCAGCCCGCCCGGGAGCCCCGGGGUCCGUGGCCCAGGCCGGAGGCGGGACGUCGGGAUCCCGCCUGCGGGGCCGCGCUGCCCCCUGGCGGCGGCCGCUGCCCCAGCCGGCGGAGCCGAGCCCCGCGACGUCCCGACCCGGACCGGGCCGGUGGGGUUCGGGCGAGGUGCUGGCGAAGUCGGCCCCGUUGGCGGGCCCAGUGGCGGGCGGGGGCGCGGGGGCGGUGAGGGAUUUACGCGGCGCGGGCUGGGCUUCAGCCCCCACAGUCACCCUGCGGAGAAGCGACGAGCCCACUUCCAUAGAAGGGCGAACUGAGGCUCGGGUGAAGUGACUUUCCCAGGAUCACAAGCGGCCGGCAAGAGUCUGAUGCCGGGCUCGGCCAAGAAAGCCCCGCCCGCCCCCUCGGCCCCGCCCGCCCCCGGGCUCGGCCCCGCCUAAAAAAGGGUUUUUAACAAAGCACUUAGCGCGCGCCUGCUGUGUGCACGAGGCCGGACGUUAGGCGGCCUCUGCGCGGGAGCUCGCGCUCUAACCCGCCACUAGUGGGUGAGGGAGGAGCCGGGGGGCGGGGAGGUGCCCCGGCAGCUGCGGGCGUCCGGAAGGAGACGCCCCGUGGCCCCGCUCCCGACCCAGCCCGGGUCCGUCACAAGCCCCCGGGAGCCGCGGGCGGAGUUAGAGGCAGGGGCGUUUCUCGGCAGGACCUCACUCACACCGCUAAGGAGAAGUGCCCGCUGCCCGCGCAGCUGCGGCAAAACGGAGGGACCGGCGCGAAACGCCUUCGGAGCCUUCCGUCCUAGGUGGGGCCCUUGUUAGCCAGGAGACCUCGCCUCGCAGAAGGGACCCAAGCUCUAAGGCGGCCCGUUUCCAGGCAACGGAGCGGCUUCCCUUGGGAGGGACCCUUUCCGGACCUCGACCACGGGAGCCGAGGCAGCCAAGCCUGGGGAGAACUCCCAGGGGGGCGCCGGGCGCUCUCGGGCCCCCGGGGGUGCAGCGCGGCCCCAAGGCAAGCGGGGGGGGGGGGGCUGACGGGAAAGGGGGUUGUGUCCUCGGGGGGCUCCGACCAAGGGCACUGCAGCCCCGCAGAAAGCACCCCCCAAAAAGGCACUGCAGCCCCGCAGAAAGCACUGGAGCCCCAAUGAAAGCACCCCCCAAUGAAAGCACUGCAGCCCCGCAGAAAGCACUCCCCAAAAAGGCACUGCAGCCCCGCAGAAGGCACUGGAGCCCCGCAGAAAGCACCCCCAAUGAAAGCACUGCAGCCCCGCAGAAAGCACCCCCCAAAGAAGGCACUGCAGCCCCGCAGAAGGCACUGGAGCCCCAAUGAAAGCACCCCCCAAAGAAGGCACUUCAGCCCCGCAGAAAGCACACCCCAAGGAAGGCACUGCAGCCCCAAUGAAAGCACCUCCCAAAGAAGACACUGCAGCUCCGCAAGAGGCACUCCCCGGGCGGCUUUGGGGAACGUGCGGGCAAAAGCAGCUCCAGGCUGCGGCCGCGCCGAGGGCUCCGGGACCACUAGAAAGCAGCCCCUCCCGUCUCAUCCUGGAAGCCCCGACAGGACUUGCUGCCACAAGCCCCAACUCACUGGCCGUCAGCGUCCACACUACACGGGGAGGACGGGUAUCAAAAACUGCCAUCAAGAAGGGACUCCUGCUACUAGUAAAAAUUGGCAAGCACCUUCUCUACAAUUUAGCGCUAGAAUCUAAUUUUGGUCUCAUGACUUCAAUAAUUGUUUCUAGUUUGUUCUUUGAUCCGCUCAUUAUUUAGGAUUUUAUUAAGUCCCCAUUUGAGUCUUUGUCCUCCCUGACCUGAUUAUAUUAUUAGCUAUGGUUUAUAAAGAAUACUAUUUCUACCCUUUUUUACAUUUGUUUGCAAUGCCCUGGCAUGUGGUCAAUUUUUGUAGAAGUUCCAUGUGGUGCUGAAGUCCUAUUUAAACAGUCCCUAUUUAGUCUUUUAGCUCAAUUUUCCGAUUAAAUUCUGUAGUUUUUCUUUCUUCUGUUAAGAUUUAUGCCAAACUGAGGAAUACUGAAAUCUGCUAGUAUGUAUAUGUCCUGUAAUUCUGCUGACUUAUAAAUGUAGAUGCAAAGGCACUUGAAGCAUAGAUUUAUUAUUGCUCUUGGUUUGUUGUCAGUGAUUCCUUUCAGCACAUUUUCCUUGUUCAUCCCUUUUCAGUUUGGCUUUUUGUCUUUGCUUCAUCUGACAUGAUUCCAAUUCCUGCUUUUUGGAUUCACCAGAUACAUAAAAAAAAUUUUCCAACCUUCAUUUUUAUUAUGUCUCUUUGCUUUUCAGGUGUUUCCUAUGAAAUGUUAGAUUUGUUUUCUUAUCCAACCUUUUACUUUUUCAUUUUAUUGGAGUUUUUAAUCCAUUCACAUUUAGUUAUGACAGCUGUUUACUAUUUUCUCCAUUUGCUAAUUUUUUUUUGUUUCCUGAUCUUCCUCCAUAUAGCACUUUGUCUCGUUGUAAGCUUGAUCUACUUUAAAAGCAACCCUAUUCCCACCAGCUGUCUUCCCCUUAUCCUAAGCCCACCCACUCCCAUGAUACCCUUUUUUCAUUGUUGCCUUUUUUUUUUCCAUCUACCAAUUUCAUUCUUUCCCAUUAUUCCAAUAGUCAAGCAAAAUCCUCCCUCUUCUUUCACUUUUGUUUUAAAAUUUUAUUUUCUGCCCCUUACACCAUUUUGUUUCCUCAUUAAUUUCUCUUCCCCGUUUAUUCAAAACUAUACUAUCCUACUAGGGGAUGAGAAAGGCCUUUUGGAGGACAUGGGAUGAACUGCCCUUUGAAGGAAGCUAAGGAUGCUCCAAGUGGAGACAAGGGAGUCUGAUUAGCUUUCAAGUAAAUAAUCUGUUUGCAUUUCUUAACAUACCCCCAGAAGAACACAAACUCCUCGCUAGGGGGGAAUUUCUCCGUUUCUUUUUCCCUACUACCCAUCCACAAAAAAAAGCACUCCAGACAUAAGCCAUGGCCAGUGCCAAGGCAUGGCGGUGCGUUUUUUGAGGAACAAAGGAGCUGAGUUCCAGAAGGGGAACAACAUAAAAUGAAAUUAAGGUAUGUUGAGGCAAGCUAAAGGUUUUAAAAGCUGAAGUGUCUAUUUUAUCCUGGGGGAGGGGGACUCUAGAUUGUGAGUGAGGGAGUAAUGUGGCCAGAUCUGGACUCAAAAUCAUGUGAAUGCAAACUGCAUUGGCCAGAGUGCCAGGCCUGGAUCAGGAGAGCCCAAAUCUGCCCUCAGCCGCCUCCAGGCUGACCCUGGGCCAGUCCCAUAAUCCUGUUGGCCACAAAGAAGUGGAGAAGAAAAAUCGGCCAACCGCUGAAGCACAAGGAAAACCGCACCUAGGGCAGGGCUGCCAUGUCUGAGGUGGCCCUGGAAGGGAGAGUGUGCUAGAGAGAGAUCUGGUGGUCAGGAAGACAGUGGGAAAGAGAGAUCAAAGGGGCAGUAGGACUGACUGCUCAGUGUGGAUAAACCAUUCCGGCCUGGGAAGAACCAAACAAAAGGGACUCCUCUUACUCAAAGAAAAUGAGAAUCUAUUUACCUUUGAUAAGCACAAGUCAGCAUGCCCAAAGUGCAUCUCCAGUAUGAAGGAACUAGCAGAUAUAAUUAUUAAUCUCAAUAUUUGAAAUCCCAAGAGAAAAUGGAGUCACAGGACUGGAGAAAGACAAAAAUCCUAAUUUCCAAAAAAGAAAAGUCUACAAAACUUCCACAUAGAUGAGCUUGACUUGGAGUCCUGGCAAAUAUAUGAUUAGUCAUCAAUGAACAAAUUAUUUGCGUCAAGAGCUAAGAGAAUACUUGGAUGAUAUCUGCUAAAAAUCAGCAAGUAUUAAGCACCUACAAUGUGCUUAAUGUCUGGGAAUACAAACACAAAAUAUCAAUCCUUACUUGGCAAGAAAAUUACAUUUUAAUAAAACAUGUUAUCUGUUGGUGAGC